rnacentral:tRNA from 1 species
GUAAUGCUUAGCAAGUUGUAGAGUUGGCGGUACUGAGAUUGAAAAUCCCCGUGUCGGCAGUUCGAUUCUGUCCCUGGGCACCA